UUGGAGGGCAAGUCUGGUGCCAGCAGCCGCGGUAAUUCCAGCUCCAAUAGCGUAUAUUAAAGUUGUUGCAGUUAAAAAGCUCGUAGUUGAAUUUCGGGAUCAAUAUUUCGGUCAUGCCGUUGGUAUGCACUGUUAUCAUUGAUUUCUCACCUUCUAAAGAACCGUAAUGCCAUUAAUUUGGUGUUACGGGGAAUUAGGACUAUUACCUUGAAAAAAUUAGAGUGUUUAAAGCAGGC
rnacentral:rRNA from 1 species